GAUGAACGCUGGCGGCGUGCCUAACACAUGCAAGUCGAACGGAAAGGCCCUGCGUUUGUGCGGUUCUCGAGUGCGGAACGCGUGAGUAACACGUGUGUAACCUGCCCUUGUCUUUCGGAUAACUUCACGAAACUCGGGCUAAUAUCGGAUAGGAUCUCCUGCACCGUGGUGGGCGGUGGAAAGUUUCGGCUGUUGGGGCUGGACGGGCGGCUUACGCGCUUGUUGGUGGGGUAGUGGCUGACCAAGGCUUUGACGGGUACGCGGCCUGAGAGGGUGACCGGGCACAAUGGGACUGAGAGACGGACCAGACUCCUACGGGAGGCAGCAGGGGGAAAUAUUACACAGUGAGCCGGAGCCUGAUGCAGAGGCGCUGGGUGCGGGAAGACGGCUUUCGGGUUGUGAACCGCUUUCGCCUGAGACGAAGCGUGAGUGACGGUACUGGGUAAAGAAGCACCGGCUAACUACGUG
rnacentral:rRNA from 1 species